GUAGUUCAUCCUGAAAUUUUGUGGAUAUAGCGCGCGAUACUUAGCUACGUUGUGUAAGUUCUGUUACAUUUCGAUAUUUGUCAAAGUGUGGUGAUUAUUCGUUAUAAUUGUACGAUUGAACGCACGGAAAAAAUUUCCGUGCUAGGGGUCUAUUGAUAUUUAAAAGAAUACUGAAAUCACAACAUUUAUCAAUAUGACGAUCAUCACAAAGGCCAUUACUGAGAAGAAGGAACAACCAUUGUUUAUUGCGGAGAAUUCAGCGGAAAAUGGUAAACGGGAUGCAGAGGCACAAUGCUUGAAGUCUGAUGUGGGAGGUCAUUAUUUUGUUUCUCGGAGAAGCAUUUAUCGCAUUCAUAUGACCGCAACAUUUUUACUGUUUCUCGUUGCAUUCAUCAUUCUGAUAAUUGGAGUCAUAGGUGGAUUAUACAUAUACAGACAAUAUGCUAAAACACAAAUGCACAGAUUUAAAACUGGAUGGUACAGCAUUCCUUAUGACAAAUCAAGCAAAAUGCCUUAUACCUUAUAUAAAGAUGCAGUACACGAUGGCUUGGUAGCAGAUUCUAAUUUAAUUAUACAAGAAUUGGGAAGUGCUACAGAACAAGAAGCUAUGGAUAUUAUGAAAAAUAUUGACUCUGGUUUGAUUAUAAAAGGUUUGAAGAAAGCUACAGAUCAGGAAGCUAUGGAUAUUGCGAAAAAUAUAGAUAAAAACUUCUUCAAGGAACGAUUUGAGAUCGAUUUGGAAAAUGAGCACUAUGAGAAAAUUGAUGUGCCAGAUUUCCGUGGUGGACGUCAAGGUCGAUUUGUACAUGAUUUUAACAUUAAUAAAACUGGCAUAAUCGAUAUUGAUGGGCAAUGUUGCUUUGUGAUGCCGCUUGAUCGUCAAGCAGUUUUACCACCGCGCAAUAUGUAUGAUCUUCUUAGAAAAAUGUAUAAUGGUUAUUACGAAGUAGAUACAGAAAUUGUGCGUAAAACAAUGAAAGUGGUUACUCCACCAAUCUCUGAUUACUCAGUUGUUGGAACAUAUAUAGCUCGUGAAUGUCAGAAUUUACCAACAUAUAUGUUGACAAAAGUAAAUUCAAAUGUUGUUAAACGUAGCAUAUCAAAUGGAGUAUUUGGACAAUUUGCAGGAAAAAAUAUCAUAGAAUUUGACAUUUUGAACUUAGAAGAUAUAAAUGCAUAUAACAAGAAAAGUCCACAAAAUUGAACAUCAGGAAUUUAUAAUUAUUUUAGAAUAUUUACCGUUGUAGAUCAAUGUAAAAAUUAUAUCCAAUCCAGCAAACUUAGGACGUUCAUUAAGUCUUCCCAUCAUUUCCUAUCUUAGCUCCAAAUCAGUAAUGCUAUAAUAAAAAUAAGAUAUGUUAGUUAUUGUACAUCUGUUUAACAUUUUAUGAGAGUUUAAUUCAGUAGCAUGCUGAUUAUAAAUGGCUGAUGCGGUUGCAGAACUAUUGCAUUUUUACAUAAACGUGCGUCAAGUACAUAUCCAACUUAAGUAACAGUGAAAUGUCAGUGGUGCUUAUUUAUAAGGUAGAACAACAUUUAUUUAUUUUUUAUGCUUAAAUUCUUUGUCGAACGGUUCUAGUAAAAUGGUAGAGAUAAUUCAUAUUAAAAUUGUUGUACAUAGUCAUACAAUCGAAUGACUAAUAAUUGUACAAACUAGCACGUUAUUUUAUAAAUCGUAUACUGAUUCUAUAAAUCACGGAUUUAAAUGUUUUUAUGAAAAAUAAUUUGCACUUUCACCCGUUUAUGAACAGUUGUAGUUUAAGAACUAAUUAAAAUACGUUUAAACGAUAUUUGUCCUUUCGUUAGAUAAUAAUAAAUGUGUUGCAGAAACACGUGUUCUAUAACACGUAUUCUGAAAGAAAUUUAGCAGUAAAAUAUGUAUUGAAAAUGAUAAAACAUGAAUAAUAAAGUUACUGUGACCAGGUCAA